AGGACGAACGCUGGCGGCGUGCUUAACACAUGCAAGUCGAACGGUAAGGCCCCUUCGGGGGUACACGAGUGGCGAACGGGUGAGUAACACGUGAGCAACCUGCCCUUGACAUUGGAAUAACAGUUGGAAACAGCUGCUAAUACCGGGUAUGACCUUUCAUCGCAUGGUGGGGGGUGGAAAGCCUUGGCGGUCAAGGAUGGGCUCGCGGCCUAUCAGCUAGUUGGUGAGGUAAUGGCUCACCAAGGCUUCGACGGGUAGCCGGCCUGAGAGGGCGACCGGCCACACUGGGACUGAGAUACGGCCCAGACUCCUACGGGAGGCAGCAGUGGGGAAUAUUGCACAAUGGGCGGAAGCCUGAUGCAGCAACGCCGCGUGCGGGAUGACGGCCUUCGGGUUGUAACCGCUUCAGUAGGGACGAAGCUAACGUGACGGUACCUACAGAAGAAGCCCCGGCUAACUACGUGCCAGCAGCCGC
rnacentral:rRNA from 1 species